rnacentral:tRNA from 1 species
GCGUGGUUGGAGUAGUGGUUAACUCGUUGCCCUCCCAACCCGAACAGCACUGGUUCGAACCCGGUGCCGCGCA